rnacentral:rRNA from 1 species
GGGUGAUAGCUGGUUGCCUGAAAAACGAAUCUAAGUUCUCCCUUAGUCCCUUCCCACCCAGACAACCAGCCAACCCCCAUGUAACAGACUAAGAGAUAGUUAAAGGAGGUACAGCCCCUCUAACACAGGAUACAACCUCCCCUAGCGGAUAACCCCAUACCCAACCCCCAACCCGUGGGCUUUAAAGCAGCCACCCACAAAGAGUGCGUCAAAGCUCCAAACCAAAAAAUCCAAAAACAACAUGACUCCCUACACUACACCCAACAGGCCAACCUAUUACAAUAGAUGAACCAAUGCUAAAACGAGUAACUAGGAUACCCAUCCCCUCAAGCGUCAGCCUGUCUACUGCUAACAGCACAACAAUAACAUCUCCCCGACCAAACAUUGGACAUACCCUGUCAACCCAACCCAGGAACGCACACCAGAGCGGUUAAAACUGCAAAAGGAACUCAGCAAACCCAAGGCCGACUGUUUACCAAAAACAUAGCCUUCAGCCAAACAAGUAUUGAAGGUGAUGCCUGCCCAGUGACAUAAUGUUAAACGGCCGCGGUAUCCUAACCGUGCAAAGGUAGCGCAAUCAAUUGUCCCAUAAAUCGAGACUUGUAUGAAUGGCUACACGAGGCCCUAACUGUCUCCUGCAGAUAACCAGUGAAACUGAUCUCCCUGUGCAAAAGCAAGGAUAAACACAUAAGACGAGAAGACCCUGUGGAACUUUAAAAUCAAUAGCCACCACACCACCCACCCUAAACCUUCAGGCCCACUAAACCCAAACACUGGCUAAUAUUUUUAGGUUGGGGCGACCAUGGAGAAAAACAAAUCCUCCAAAAACAAGGCCACACCCCCCCUGACCAAGAGCAACCCCUCAACGUACCAACAGCACCCAGACCCAAUAAAAUUGAUCAAUGAACCAAGCUACCCCAGGGAUAACAGCGCAAUCUCCUCCAAGAGUCCCCAUCGACGAGGAGGUUUACGACCUCGAUGUUGGAUCAGGACAUCCUAGUGGUGCAGCCGCUACUAAGGGUUCGUUUGUUCAACGAUU